rnacentral:rRNA from 1 species
GACGAAUGCUGGCGGCGUGCCUAAUACAUGCAAGUUGAGCGAUGAAGAUUGGUGCUUGCACCAAUUUGAAGAGCAGCGAACGGGUGAGUAACGCGUGGGGAAUCUGCCUUUGAGCGGGGGACAACAUUUGGAAACGAAUGCUAAUACCGCAUAACAACUUUAAACAUAAGUUUUAAGUUUGAAAGAUGCAAUUGCAUCACUCAAAGAUGAUCCCGCGUUGUAUUAGCUAGUUGGUGAGGUAAAGGCUCAACAAGGCGAGGAUACAUAGCCGACCAGGGAGGGUGAGCGGACACGUGGGGGAUGGGAGACGGACCAAACACGUACGGGAGGCAGCAGUAGGGAAUCUUCGGCAAUUGACGAAAGUCUGACCGGGCAACGCCGCGUGAAUGAAGAAGGUUUUCGGAUCGUAAAACUCUGUUGGUAGAGAAGAACGUUGGUGAGAGUGGAAAGCUCAUCAAGUGACGGUAACUACCCAGAAAGGGACGGCUAACUACGUGCCAGCCGCCGCGGUAA